rnacentral:tRNA from 1 species
CCCUCUGGCUCAGUUGGUAGAGCAUGGUGUUUGCAAUGCCAGCAUGGUGUGUGCAACGCCAGGGUUGUGGGUUCGAUUCCCACGGGGG